CCUGGCUCAGAACGAACGCUGGCGGCAGGCCUAACACAUGCAAGUCGAGCGCGCCUUCGGGCGAGCGGCGGACGGGUUAGUAACGCGUGGGAACGUGCCCAGAUCUACGGAAUAGCCACUGGAAACGGUGAGUAAUACCGUAUACGCCCUUCGGGGGAAAGAUUUAUCGGAUUUGGAUCGGCCCGCGUUAGAUUAGGUAGUUGGUGGGGUAACGGCCUACCAAGCCUACGAUCUAUAGCUGGUUUUAGAGGAUGAUCAGCAACACUGGGACUGAGACACGGCCCAGACUCCUACGGGAGGCAGCAGUGGGGAAUCUUGGACAAUGGGGGCAACCCUGAUCCAGCCAUGCCGCGUGAGUGAAGAAGGCCCUAGGGUCGUAAAACUCUUUCGCCUGUGAUGAUAAUGACAGUAGCAGGUAAAGAAACCCCGGCUAACUCCGUGCCAGCAGCCGCGGUAAUACGGAGGGGGUUAGCGUUGUUCGGAAUUACUGGGCGUAAAGCGCACGUAGGCGGAUUAGAAAGUUAGAGGUGAAAUCCCGGGGCUCAACCCCGGAACUGCCUUUAAAACUACUAGUCUAGAGUUCGAGAGAGGUGAGUGGAAUUCCGAGUGUAGAGGUGAAAUUCGUAGAUAUUCGGAGGAACACCAGUGGCGAAGGCGGCUCACUGGCUCGAUACUGACGCUGAGGUGCGAAAGUGUGGGGAGCAAACAGGAUUAGAUACCCUGGUAGUCCACACCGUAAACGAUGAAUGCCAGUCGUCGGGUAGUAUACUAUUCGGUGACACACCUAACGGAUUAAGCAUUCCGCCUGGGGA
rnacentral:rRNA from 1 species